rnacentral:rRNA from 1 species
UACGUAGGGUGCGAGCGUUGUCCGGAAUUAUUGGGCGUAAAGAGCUCGUAGGCGGUCUGUCGCGUCUGCUGUGAAAUCCCGAGGCUCAACCUCGGGCUUGCAGUGGGUACGGGCAGGCUAGAGUGCGGUAGGGGAGAAUGGAACUCCUGGUGUAGCGGUGGAAUGCGCAGAUAUCAGGAAGAACACCGAUGGCGAAGGCAGAUCUCUGGGCCGUAACUGACGCUGAGGAGCGAAAGCGUGGGGAGCGAACAGG